UCUACGGGAGGCAGCAGUGGGGAAUAUUGCACAAUGGGCGCAAGCCUGAUGCAGCGACGCCGCGUGAGGGAUGACGGCCUUCGGGUUGUAAACCUCUUUCAGUAGGGAAGAAGCGAAAGUGACGGUACCUGCAGAAGAAGCGCCGGCUAACUACGUGCCAGCAGCCGCGGUAAUA
rnacentral:rRNA from 1 species